rnacentral:piRNA from 1 species
UAAUAUGCUGACAUUUGAACUACUCGGAUGU